GGAUGUGAGGGCAAUCUGGCUGCAACAUCUGCCACCCCAUUGAUUGCCAGGGUUGAUUCCACUAAUCUGGCUGGCUAGGCGGGCAUCCCCUUCCUCCCUCGCUGCUCUAUGUGUGUCCCUCCUGAAGCUGCACGCUGGAUUGAAAAGAACAGCCUUCCCUGAAUAGAGAUGGUCUUGGGUCAAGGGUAUACAAGUAGCUGCGCUCCCCUGCUAGAACCUCCAAACAAGCUCUCAAGGAUAAGAGGAGUACAAUUCCUACCUCCAGAGCUCCAUAUCCCAUCCCUUCCCCUGAUAGUUUACCUGUUCUUUAACCCUUUGGGAGUAUGG
ensembl:misc_RNA 7SK 7SK RNA